GUAUUUGGAUUUUGGGCGCAGGCGGCCGGUCCGUCGCAAGGCGUGUACUGGACGUCCUGGCCUUCCCUCCGGUUCUCCGCCGGUGCUCUUGACUGAGUGUCGGCGGCGGCCGGAACGUUUACUUUGAAAAAAUUAGAGUGUUCAAAGCAGGCUCUCGAGCCUGGAUAAUGGUGCAUGGAAUAAUGGAAUAGGACCUCGGUUCUAUUUUGUUGGUUUUCGGAGCGCGAGGUAAUGAUUAAGAGGGACAGACGGGGGCAUUCGUACUGUGCCGUUAGAGGUGAAAUUCUUGGAUCGGCGCAAGACGAACGACUGCGAAAGCAUUUGCCAAGAAUGUUUUCUUUAAUCAAGAGCGAAAGUCAGAGGUUCGAAGACGAUCAGAUACCGUCCUAGUUCUGACUAUAAACGAUGCCAACUAGCGAUCGGGGGGCGUUACAUUGACGACCCCUCCGGCAGCUUACGGGAAACCAAAGUCUUUGGGUUCCGGGGGAAGUAUGGUUCCAAAGCUGAAACUUAAAGGAAUUGACGGAAGGGCACCACCAGGAGUGGAGCCUGCGGCUUAAUUUGACUCAACACGGGAAAUCUCACCCGGCCCGGACACAGUGAGGAUUGACAGAUUGAGAGCUCUUUCUUGAUUCUGUGGGUGGUGGUGCAUGGCCGUUCUUAGUUGGUGGAGCGAUUUGUCUGGUUAAUUCCGAUAACGAACGAGACUCUGGCUUGCUAAAUAGUUACGCGACCAUCCCGGUCGGCGUUUAACUUCUUAGAGGGACAAGUGGCGU
rnacentral:ncRNA from 1 species